rnacentral:rRNA from 1 species
UGGGGAAUAUUGGACAAUGGGCGAAAGCCUGAUCCAGCCAUACCGCGUGUGUGAAGAAGGUCUUCGGAUUGUAAAGCACUUUAAGUUGGGAGGAAGGGCAUUAACCUAAUACGUUAGUGUUUUGACGUUACCGACAGAAUAAGCACCGGCUAACUCUGUGCCAGCAGCCGCGGUAAUACAGAGGGUGCAAGCGUUAAUCGGAAUUACUGGGCGUAAAGCGCGCGUAGGUGGUUUGUUAAGUUGGAUGUGAAUCCCCGGGCUCAACCUGGGAACUGCAUUCAAAACUGACUGACUAGAGUAUGGUAGAGGGUGGUGGAAUUUCCUGUGUAGCGGUGAAAUGCGUAGAUAUAGGAAGGAACACCAGUGGCGAAGGCGACCACCUGGACUAAUACUGACACUGAGGUGCGAAAGCGUGGGGAGCAAACA